UUUCCAGGUUACCUAACCAAACUCCUGUAAAACCACACCACCUAUGCCUGUGAUGGGGACUAUCUGAAUCUACAGUGCCCUCGGCAUUCUACAAUAAGUGUCCAAUCGGCAUUUUAUGGACAAGAUUACCCAAUGUGUAGUUCCCAGAAGCCUGCCUGCCAGAGGGAAGACAGCUUAACUUGUGUGGCACCCACCACCUUCCAGAUGAAUUAAAAAACAAAACCGUGUGUGAAGACAAGGAGCUGAAACUGCACUGCCAUGAAUCCAAGUUCCUCAACAUCUACUCUGUGACCUAUGGCAGGAGGAUCCAGGAAAGGGACAUGUGCUCCUCCAAGGCAGAGCGGCUCCCCCCCUUUUCAGUUUUUCCCAAGAACAUACUCACAGUGAUUGAUCCAGCCAUUGGUAAUCUAAAACCUUCUUUGAAGCAGAAAGAUGGUGAAUAUGGUAUGAACUUCGACCCAAGCGAAUCGAAGGUUCUGAGGAAAGAUGGAAUCCUUGUUAGUGACUCUCUGGCAGCCUUUGCUUACAUU
rnacentral:lncRNA from 1 species